rfam:Strongylocentrotus purpuratus Contig980_fixed, whole genome shotgun sequence.
AUGGCUUGGUGGUAGAGUCGCUGCCCGGCAAGCAGUAGACGGCAGGUUCGAAUCCCGCU